GCGGUGAAAUGCGUAGAUAUCAGGAGGAACACCUGUGGUGUAGACAGCUUACUGGACCACUUCUGACGCUGAGACACGAAAGCGUGGGUAGCAAACAGGAUUAGAUACCCUGGUAGUCCACGCCCUAAACGAUGCAUACUUGGUGUGAGCGAUUCAUUUCGUUCGUGCCGGAGCUAACGCGUUAAGUAUGCCGCCUGGGGAGUACGGUCGCAAGGCUGAAACUCAAAUGAAUUGACGG
rnacentral:rRNA from 1 species